GAGUUUGGAGAAAGAUAGGAAGUGGAUUGAAUGACAAGAUUUGAUGGAACUUCUCUUUUCAAAAGAGGAAAUGGCUACUUCUUCAGUGACUGGAAGGAAACUAACACUAAGAAAAUGCUGUUAAGAAACCCCCUUUGUGCAAAAAGUUUAUGCAAUUAUUGCAAAAGUGCAGCAACAGUUUCCGACUGUGGAGAAAACUGCAAUAAAGACCACAACGACAUAAAAGCUAAAAGAUGUGGCCACUCACUGCAACACUAGUCCAGCAAUCUUGGAAAUUAAAAAUUGAAUCAUCAAUUUUUAUUUAUAUAUUUUUUUUAAAUAAAUAAAAACUUUAUCCAAGUAAUUACUCAAUAAUCCAAAAUGCA